GUGUUUCUCCGGCGAGCAAAUCGUCGCUGUCUGGGUGUACAGGCAACGCCAGUCGCUGGCAAACACUCCCAUAAGAAAAGGGAGACAUCUCCAGGACUCCCCUAAUUGUUUUUACUCAUUUCAUUAAUAUUUCUUAUGAUCUUCACGCAGACCUUGAAACUGAUAUUAUUACAAUUUGGCUUGGAUUUGAAGACUGAUUU
rnacentral:lncRNA from 1 species